rnacentral:misc_RNA from 1 species
GAUGAAGAACGUAGCGAAAUGCGAUAAGUAAUGUGAAUUGCAGAAUUCAGUGAAUCAUCGAAUCUUUGAACGCACCUUGCGCCCUUUGGCUAUUCCGAAGGGCAUGCCUGUUUGAGUAUCAUGAACACCUCAACUCUCAUGGUUUGCCAUGAUGAGCUUGGACUCUGGGGGUCUUGCUGGCCUAUGGUCAGCCCCUCUCAAAUAAAUCAGCUUGCCAGUGUUUGGUGGCAUCACAGGUGUGAUAACUAUCUACGCUUGUGGUUUUCCAUCAGGUAACCUUCAGUGAUGGAGGUUCGCUGGAGCUCAUAAAUGUCCCUCCUCAGCGAGGACAGCUUUUUGAACGUUUGAUCUCAAAUCAGGUAGGACUACCCGCUGAACUUAAGCAUAUCAAUAAGCGGAGGA